AACGUAGGAGGCAAGCGUUAUCCGGAGUUACUGGGCGUAAAGCGCGUGUAGGUGGAUUGGUAAGUUACUUAUAAAAGCCCCUGGCUAAACUAGGGGAGGUUGGGUGAUACUGCCAGUCUUGAAUAGAGGAGAGGUUGACGGAAUUCCACGUGUAGCAGUGAAAUGCGUAGAGAUGUGGAGGAACACCGAUGGCGAAGGCAGCCCCCUGGGCCAAUACUGACGCUCAUGCACGAAAGCGUGGGGAGCAAACAGG
rnacentral:rRNA from 1 species